rnacentral:rRNA from 1 species
UACGUAGGGUGCAAGCGUUAAUCGGAAUUACUGGGCGUAAAGCGUGCGCAGGCGGUUUUGUAAGUCUGUCGUGAAAUCCCCCGGGCUCAACCUGGGAAUUGCGAUGGAGACUGCAAGGCUAGAAUCUGGCAGAGGGGGGUAGAAUUCCACGUGUGAGCAGUGAAAUGCGUAGAGAUGCGGAGGAACACCGAUGGCGAAGGCAGCCCCCUGGGCUAACACUGACGCUCCAGGCACGAAAGCGUGGGGAGCAAACGAGG